AUUUGUCAGCACAGCAGUGACACCUGGAUGCUGAUGUUAUUCCCAGUGACACCUGGACGCUGAUGUUAUUCCCAAGCACACAACACAGAGGGUUUCAAGCGGAGCCCCAGCAGCCAAGGGCCAUCACAGCUGUGGCAGGACUGGAAAAAAUAUUGAAAACCUGAAUUUGAGGAAGGACAUGCUGAUCUCUACUUGCUUGUCUGCUCGGUCAGGGACACAAGCCAUUUCACUGGAAAUACAGAAAGUGGAGAAGUUUGCACUCUUUUCAUUAGUGCUUUGGUUUUGUGGUAACCAUUGUAAAAGCAGAGCUCAAAGAGAAGAAGUGACACCUGUGACAGCCCUGGAGUGCCGUGGGACUUCUGUCAGGUGAAGAAAACACAGAACAUCCACUUGCAGAAUUCCUGUACCUCCAAUUUCCCAUGAUUUUCCCUAAUUUAGGUGAUAUCAAAACAAAGUUUAAUCAGAUCCCUGAAAAUGGGAAGCCAGAAAAUGCAGCCCUGUUUGGGGGUGUUGAGUUUCAUUUUACAGCCUCAUUACAGCUAUUAAUUUGUUCUGUUUUGGAAGACUUUACUUGCUCUUGUUG